rnacentral:rRNA from 1 species
UACGUAGGUGGCAAGCGUUGUCCGGAUUUACUGGGCGUAAAGAGCGCGCAGGCGGUCGUUCAAGUCGCGUGUGAAAGCCCCCGGCUCAACUGGGGAGGGUCACGCGAUACUGAUCGACUGGAAGGCAGGAGAGGGUAGUGGAAUUCCCGGUGUAGUGGUGAAAUGCGUAGAUAUCGGGAGGAACACCAGUGGCGAAGGCGACUACCUGGCCUGUUAUUGACGCUGAGGCGCGAAAGCUAGGGGAGCAAACGGGG